UGUGGGAGCUGGCUUGCCUGCGAUAGCGGUGGGUCAGCAAACCCUAUGUUGCUGAAAGUGCGCUAUCGCAGGCAAGCCAGCUCCCACA
rnacentral:misc_RNA from 1 species